rnacentral:rRNA from 1 species
GAUCCUGGCUCAGAUUGAACGCUGGCGGCAGGCCUAACACAUGCAAGUCGAACGGUAACAGGAAGAAGCUUGCUCUUGCUGACGAGUGGCGGACGGGUGAGUAAUGUCUGGGAAACUGCCUGAUGGAGGGGGAUAACUACUGGAAACGGUAGCUAAUACCGCAUAACGUCGCAAGACCAAAGAGGGGGACCUUCGGGCCUCUUGCCAUCGGAUGUGCCCAGAUGGGAUUAGCUUGUUGGUGGGGUAACGGCUCACCAAGGCGACGAUCCCUAGCUGGUCUGAGAGGAUGACCAGCCACACUGGAACUGAGACACGGUCCAGACUCCUACGGGAGGCAGCAGUGGGGAAUAUUGCACAAUGGGCGCAAGCCUGAUGCAGCCAUGCCGCCGUGUAUGAAGAAGGCCUUCGGGUUGUAAAGUACUUCAGGCGGGAGGAAGGGAGUAAAGUUAAUACCUUUGCUCAUUGACGUUACCCGCAGAAGAAGCACCGGCUAACUCCGUGCCAGCCGCCGC